UACGAGGGGGGCAAAUGUUGUUCGGAAUCACCGGGCGUAAAGGGAGCGUAGGCGGGUUUUUAAGUCAGGUGUUUAAUCCCGGGGCCCAACCCCGGACAGGCACUUGAAACUGGGAAUCUUGAAUAGUGGAGAGGUCGGUGGAAUUGGAGGUGUAGCGGUGGAAUGCGUAGAUAUGCGGAGGAACACCGAUGGCGAAGGCAAUCCCCUGGGCCUGCACUGACGCUCAUGCACGAAAGCGUGGGGAGCAAACAGG
rnacentral:rRNA from 1 species